UACAGAGGCCCCAAGCGUUAGGCGGAAUCACUGGGCUUAAAGCGUGUGUAGGCGGACUUCUAAGUACCUUGUGAAAUCCCACGGCUCAACCGUGGAACUGCUGGGUAUACUGGUUGUCUUGAGCCAGCUAGGGGCGAGCGGAACAGACGGUGGAGCGGUGAAAUGCGUAGAUAUCGUCUGGAACGCCGAAGGUGAAAACAGCUCGCUGGGGCUGCGCUGACGCUGAGACACGAAAGCCAGGGGAGCGAACGGG
rnacentral:rRNA from 1 species